UACGGAGGGUGCAAGCGUUGUCCGGAAUCACUGGGCGUAAAGGGCGCGUAGGCGGCUCAUGAAGGCUGUGGUGAAAGUCCGGGGCUCAACCUCGGAACUGCCUUUGAAACUAGGUAGCUAGAAUCCUGGAGAGGUCAGUGGAAUUCCGAGUGUAGAGGUGAAAUUCGUAGAUAUUGGGAAGAACACCGGUGGCGAAGGCGGCGACCUGGUCCUUGACUGACGCUGAGGCGCGAAAGCGUGGGGAGCAAACAGG
rnacentral:rRNA from 1 species